AUUUUCCUUCACAGAUGGAAAGAUACAUCAUAGUAUUUUAACUUUUUUUUUAAGAGCAGUUUUAAGUUCACAGCAAAAUUGAGAGGUAGGUACAAACAUUUCUCAUACAUGCCCCACCCUCACACAUGGACAUUAUAACACCCCACCACCACCAGAGUGGUACAUUUGUUAGAAUUGAUGGAGCUGCUACAUUAUAAUCUCUCAAAGUUCAUUGUUUAUAUUAGGGUCACUCUGGGUAUUAUAUAUUCUGUGGGUGUCAUAGUAUUUUUUUUUAAAGAUUUUAUUUAUUUAUUUAUUUAUUUAUUUAUUUAUUUAUUUGACAGAGAGAGAGCUAGAGAGCACAGUCAGGGGGAACAGCAGAGGGAGAGGGAGAAGCAGGCUCCCAACUGACCAAGGAUCCCUAUGUGAGGCUCCAUCCCAGGACCCUGGAAUCAUGACCUGAGCCGAAGGCAGAUGCUUAACCAAGUGAGCCAACUGUGAGGCACCCCUCACAGCAUUUUAAUACUUGUAUUCUAAGGCAGAUAUUGAGUUCAUGGAUCACAUCAAGUCAAAACUCUCUCAAAUACCCACCUAGUUCCCUGGAAGAAGUCGUCCCUUCAUUUCAUAAUCAAAACACCGAAUUAUUUCUCAGAGCUGUGGACUGUUAUUCAACCAUCAGAAGCACAGAGUAAUAUGUGAUGUGUAACAAGGAGGAAGACAAAACACAGUGUAAGAGGAGGAAGUUAUAAACGUGGGACACAUUUUGAAGAGUUGCAGCCAUUGAGCAAAAUGUGUUUUUGUUUGGUGGAAAAGGAGUUAAUCUACAGUCCGUUUUUAGAAAAGUGUCACCUGAAAGUAUGAAUAUUACCUUAAAGACAGAUUGCUGUUUUGAUAGAAAAUCUGACUAAAAGGUGGAGGAUUGAGGCGGUUUGUGGAAAUGAAUUUAGCCAGCCUCUGUCAAUGCUAAUUAUAUACCUGUGAUUUCAUUCUCCAA